AUUGAACGCUGGCGGCAGGCCUAACACAUGCAAGUCGAGCGGUAGAGAGGUGCUUGCAUCUCUUGAGAGCGGCGGACGGGUGAGUAAUGCCUAGGAAUCUGCCUGGUGGUGGGGGAUAACGUUCGGAAACGGACGCUAAUACCGCAUACGUCCUACGGGAGAAAGCGGGGGGAUCUUCGGACCUCGCGCCAUUAGAUGAGCCUAGGUCGGAUUAGCUAGUUGGUGAGGUAAUGGCUCACCAAGGCGACGAUCCGUAACUGGUCUGAGAGGAUGAUCAGUCACACUGGAACUGAGACACGGUCCAGACUCCUACGGGAGGCAGCAGUGGGGGAAUAUUGGACAAUGGGCGAAAGCCUGAUCCAGCCAUGCCGCGUGUGUGAAGAAGGUACUUCGGAUUGUAAAGCACUUUAAGUUGGGUAGGAAGGGUAGUAACCUAAUACGUU
rnacentral:rRNA from 1 species